rnacentral:rRNA from 1 species
AGCGUGCGCAGGCGGUUAUAUAAGACAGAUGUGAAAUCCCCGGGCCUCAACCUGGGAACUGCAUUUGUGACUGUAUAGCUGGAGUGCGGCAGAGGGGGAUGGAAUUCCGCGUGUAGCAGUGAAAUGCGUAGAUAUGCGGAGGAACACCGAUGGCGAAGGCAAUCCCCCUGGGCCUGCACUGACGCUCAUGCACGAAAGCGUGGGGAGCAAACAGGAUUAGAUACCCUGGU